GAUGAACGCUGGCGGCGUGCCUAAUACAUGCAAGUCGAGCGAACGGACGAGAAGCUUGCGUCUCUGAUGUUAGCGGCGGACGGGUGAGUAACACGUGGAUAACCUACCUAUAAGACUGGGAUAACUUCGGGAAACCGGAGCUAAUACCGGAUAAUAUUUUGAACCGCAUGGUUCAAAAGUGAAAGACGGUCUUGCUGUCACUUAUAGAUGGAUCCGCGCUGCAUUAGCUAGUUGGUAAGGUAACGGCUUACCAAGGCAACGAUGCAUAGCCGAACUGAGAGGGUGGUCGGCCACACUGGAACUGAGACACGGUCCAGACUCCUACGGGAGGCAGCAGUAGGGAAUCUUCCGCAAUGGGCGAAAGCCUGACGGAGCAACGCCGCGUGAGUGAUGACGGUCUUCGGAUCGUAAAACUCUGUUAUUAGGGAAGAACAUAUGUGUAAGUAACUGUGCACAUCUUGACGGUACCUAAUCAGAAAGCCACGGCUAACUACGUG
rnacentral:rRNA from 1 species